rnacentral:rRNA from 1 species
AACGAACGCUGGCGGCAGGCCUAACACAUGCAAGUCGAGCGCCCAGCAAUGGGAGCGGCAGACGGGUGAGUAACGCGUGGGAACCUUCCCAAUGGUACGGAAUAGCUCAGGGAAACUUGAGGUAAUACCGAAUAAGCCCGAAAGGGGAAGAUUUAUCGCCAUUGGAUGGGCCCGCGUAGGAUUAGCUAGUUGGUGAGGUAAUGGCUCACCAAGGCGACGAUCCUUAGCUGGUUUGAGAGAAUGACCAGCCACACUGGGACUGAGACACGGCCCAGACUCCUACGGGAGGCAGCAGUGGGGAAUCUUGGACAAUGGGCGCAAGCCUGAUCCAGCCAUGCCGCGUGAGUGACGAAGGUCUUCGGAUUGUAAAGCUCUUUUGCCAGGGACGAUAAUGACGGUACCUGGAGAAUAAGCCCCGGCUAACUUCGUGCCAGCAGCCGCCGU